UACGAGGGGGCAAGCGUUGUUCGGAAUUAUUGGGCGUAAAGGGCGCGUAGGCGGUGCGGUAAGUCACCUGUGAAAACUCUGGGCUCAACUCAGAGCCUGCAGGCGAAACUGCCGUGCUUGAGUGUGGGAGAGGUGCGUGGAAUUCCCGGUGUAGCGGUGAAAUGCGUAGAUAUCAGGAGGAACACCAGUGGCGAAGGCGGCUCACUGGCCCGAUACUGACGCUGAGGUGCGAAAGCGUGGGGAGCAAACGGG
rnacentral:rRNA from 1 species